rnacentral:rRNA from 1 species
UGAGGAAUAUUGGUCAAUGGGCGAGAGCCUGAACCAGCCAAGUCGCGUGAAGGAUGAAGGAUCUAUGGUUUGUAAACUUCUUUUAUAUGGGAAUAAAGUGAGGAACGUGUUCCUUUUUGUAUGUACCAUAUGAAUAAGCAUCGGCUAACUCCGUGCCAGCAGCCGCGGUAAUACGGAGGAUGCGAGCGUUAUCCGGAUUUAUUGGGUUUAAAGGGUGCGUAGGUGGUUAAUUAAGUCAGCGGUGAAAGUUUGUGGCUCAACCAUAAAAUUGCCGUUGAAACUG